rnacentral:rRNA from 1 species
AGCGAACGCUGGCGGCAGGCCUAACACAUGCAAGUCGAACGGAUCCUUCGGGAUUAGUGGCGGACGGGUGAGUAACACGUGGGAACGUGCCCUUUGGUUCGGAACAACUCAGGGAAACUUGAGCUAAUACCGGAUGUGCCCUUCGGGGGAAAGAUUUAUCGCCAUUGGAGCGGCCCGCGUCUGAUUAGCUAGUUGGUGAGGUAACGGCCCACCAAGGCGACGAUCAGUAGCUGGUCUGAGAGGAUGAUCAGCCACACUGGGACUGAGACACGGCCCAGACUCCUACGGGAGGCAGCAGUGGGGAAUCUUGCGCAAUGGGCGAAAGCCUGACGCAGCCAUGCCGCGUGAAUGAUGAAGGUCUUAGGAUUGUAAAAUUCUUUCAGCGGGGGCGAUAAUGACGGUACCCGCAGAAGAAGCUCCGGCUAACUUCGUG